rnacentral:rRNA from 1 species
GAUGAACGCUGGCGGCGUGCCUAAUACAUGCAAGUCGAGCGAACAGACGAGGAGCUUGCUCCUCUGACGUUAGCGGCGGACGGGUGAGUAACACGUGGAUAACCUACCUAUAAGACUGGGAUAACUUCGGGAAACCGGAGCUAAUACCGGAUAAUAUAUUGAACCGCAUGGUUCAAUAGUGAAAGACGGUUUUGCUGUCACUUAUAGAUGUAUCCGCGCCGCAUUAGCUAGUUGGUAAGGUAACGGCUUACCAAGGCAACGAUGCGUAGCCGACCUGAGAGGGUGGACGGGCAAAAUGGGAACGGAACAAGGGCCAAGCUCCCAAGGGAGGGAAGAAUAGGGGAACUUUCGGCAAGGGGGGAAGGUUGGAGGAGGAAAGGCGGGUGAGUUGUUAAGGUCUUCGGAUCGUAAAACUCUGUUAUUAGGGAAGAACAAAUGUGUAAGUAACUAUGCACGUCUUGACGGUACCUAAUCAGAAAGCCACGGCUAACUACGUG